rnacentral:misc_RNA from 1 species
UCCAGCUUAUUACCGGCAGUCCCACUAAAGUGCCAACACGAAGUUAGGGCAACUAGUGGUAAGGGUUGCGCUCGUUGCGUCACUUAAGACAACAUCUCACGACACGAGCUGACGACAGCCAUGCAGCACCUGUGUCUAGGUUCCUUGCGGCACAAUUCCAUCUCUGGAAUCUUCCUAGCAUGUCAAGAGCAGGUAAGGUUCUUCGCGUUGCAUCGAAUUAAUCCACAUCAUCCACCGCUUGUGCGGGUCCCCGUCAAUUCCUUUGAGUUUUAAUCUUGCGACCGUACUCCCCAGGCGGUCUACUUCUCGCGUUAGCUUCGCUACUAAGGUUUUACCCCCAACAGCAAGUAGACAUCGUUUAGGGCGUGGACUAC